GCGACAAAACUGAAGUUUUUAGUUUGCCGCCAGGUGUCAGGCGCGGCGUUCAAAGAGAGCGCAUCAGCGCCACGCAUGCGUAGAGGCUGAGAAACAUUUGAAAGAUCUAGAAUCUGGAGGAUUGACGCAAUUUUGAGAUCUUGCUGUGUUUAAUAACAAGAAUAAUUGUAAUUACUGUUAAUUGUUGCUUAUAAAAAUCAUUAAAACAAAAUGAUUAUUCCAGUACGUUGUUUUACUUGUGGCAAAGUCAUCGGAAAUAAAUGGGAGGCUUAUUUGGGUCUUUUGCAAGCCGAAUAUACUGAAGGUGACGCACUGGAUUCGUUGGGAUUAAAACGUUACUGCUGCCGUAGAAUGCUUCUGGGCCACGUGGACUUGAUUGAAAAAUUACUCAAUUAUGCUCCGCUUGAAAAAUAAAUACUCAUCAUUCCAACAUGUAAAUAAUUACUAUUAAGUUUCUUUAUAAAAUAAAUCAUAUAUUUAAUAAAAAAAAAAGAGCAAUGAUUUUUUCUCAAAAAGGAAAUGAAGUAAAUAAAAUUUCUAAAUUAUA